AACCUAAUUCGAAGUAGUUUGCCAUGAUUCUCUCACCUAUCUACCCUUCUAUGGGUUCUGCACUUAUGUCUUAUCUGACCAGUAUACUGAAUCACCUCUGUCUUUUCCUCCUUGCAAUGGCCAUGUCAUCUCUAGAACUGGUUUGAAUAAGUCCCGUCUUCCUUCCUCAACCUACUCUUGUGCACUGGUGAAUCCCACAGAUGAAAACAUAGACCACAUGUUGAAGGAAAGUUUGAAACGUGUUGACGAAUCAUAGAAGUAGUGUGACUUGUGACCUUUUUCUAUUUUUGUCUCUAGUCUUAAAUCUGUUUUCUUAUUAUCAUCUCUUAACCAAAUUCAUUUCUAGUCUAUUUUAUUGCUUUUUACUUGUAUGCUUGCUUAAGAAUGUGAUCUGACUUUUUAUCGUUAUAAACAUACAAAUAUGUGAUCAAUUUGGACUUUGUUUUUGUAUUUUUUUUUAACAUUUAUAUGUACAUGGUAUGUAUUAUUUUAGUUAUUUUGGUUAAAUCAUUUUAAAUAGUAGCAGUUCUGCUGUAAUAUUUGUUGCGGUUGUAAUAUUUUCUUUUUGUUGCAUCGAUAUUUAUGGAUAUUAUUCUUAACUCCUUGUAUGGCAAAUUCAUAGCAUCAAAUCAUAGUAGAGUAAUUUUAUUUUGUCCUAUUUAUCUAAUAAAAAAAAUCUGGUUCUGUGUGUAUGCCUUGUUUGUUUUAACAGACUACACUCAGUGAGCAUGACAAUGAAAUGUCAAGGAGAUUGAUGAAGUUACUUGAGAAGUUGAGAAAUAAAGAUCGUGCUUAUUACCAGUUAUGCCACCUUGUGAGGCAAGGUGAACAGCCCAAAGAAGGAUUCCUCUUUCUUUCAAACCUCGUUGAGGACCAGAUGGGUGGUAACAGUGGGUACGCUGAAUGGAUGUUACAGAUAUCCCGGCAAGUGCAGCAAUCAUAAUGUUUAGCUUCCCUGGCUAAAUAAGCAGUUUUUAAAGACGGGUUUUAUUUUUUGUCUGGCAAGUGAGGACCAUUUCUUUCUGCAUUGAAAAUAUAUUGAAUCUAUCCAUUCCGGUGGUUGGACAGGCAUCCUUGACCUGGCUAAAUUGAUCGUGAUUUGUGAGUAAGAUGCUUUUGGGAGAUUGUUGAUUCAUCCUGAGAUGUAUCGAUUAGGUUAAACACUACCACAGAUUGAAUUUAAACAUGUUUUCAGGUGAUAAAGGGAAAAGGGGAACUUUUUUGUUUUUGUUAUUUUACCUUGUGAGAUAGAUCGUCAUUUUCGGUCUUAAAUUUCCUUUUGUCGUAAUCUUAUGGUUGAUUCUUUUAUUGUAGAAAAAGAAAGUAGAAAGAGAACUGAGAAGAGAUGGCAUGUCAAAUCAGUCUUGCGAAAUCUUAAAUUUUGAUUGUUGACAAUUGUUACUUA